rnacentral:lncRNA from 1 species
AGCCACUAGGCACAAUGCCAAUGUCAUGCUAGGUCUCUACCUAUUCAUUCUUGCCACUCUCAAGGCUUUACCUUUGACGAUGUCGUAAUUGGUUAAACUAGGUUUAACGGUUCAUCUCUCAAUGCCAAUCUUGUUUCUAUGUCAAUGUCACCAUUGUUUUCUAUUGUCCAAGUCCAACCUCACAUUCACACAACUUGAGGGUCCGAUCACACAUGUCCAAUUUGGUUCUAUCAUCC